AGAUCUGCCCUGUACAGGAAUUUCAGAUGUGGAAAGAAAAGAUCUCCUCACGAUGAUACCAUACCCACUGCGUGCCUUGAAAAACAAUAAAUAGUGCUGGGACACUGCUCAGAUAUUGGAGAUUCUGUACACACAGAGAAGUUGCUUUGGGGUCUGAAAGUGUUUAUCCUGCCAAAAAUAAAUGCUCUAAAAAUGAUCAGUUAGCA